CCAGCAGCCGCGGUAAUUCCAGCUCCAAUAGCGUAUAUUAAAGUUGUUGCAGUUAAAAAGCUCGUAGUUGAACCUUGGGCCUGGCUGGCCGGUCCGCCUCAUCGCGUGCACUGGUCCGGCCGGGCCUUUCCUCCUGGAGAGCCGCAUGCCCUUCGCUGGGUGUGUCGGGGAACCAGGACUUUUACUUUGAAAAAAUUAGAGUGUUCAAAGCAGGCCUAUGCUCGAAUACAUUAGCAUGGAAUAAUAGAAUAGGACGUGUGGUUCUAUUUUGUUGGUUUCUAGGACCGCCGUAAUGAUUAAUAGGGAUAGUCGGGGGCAUCAGUAUUCAAUUGUCAGAGGUGAAA
rnacentral:rRNA from 1 species